rnacentral:rRNA from 1 species
AACGGGUGAGUAACACGUGGGCAAUCUGCCCUUCACUCUGGGACAAGCCCUGGAAACGGGGUCUAAUACCGGAUAAUACUCCUGCCUGCAUGGGCGGGGGUUAAAAGCUCCGGCGGUGAAGGAUGAGCCCGCGGCCUAUCAGCUUGUUGGUGGGGUAAUGGCCCACCAAGGCGACGACGGGUAGCCGGCCUGAGAGGGCGACCGGCCACACUGGGACUGAGACACGGCCCAGACUCCUACGGGAGGCAGCAGUGGGGAAUAUUGCACAAUGGGCGAAAGCCUGAUGCAGCGACGCCGCGUGAGGGAUGACGGCCUUCGGGUUGUAAACCUCUUUCAGCAGGGAAGAAGCGAAAGUGACGGUACCUGCAGAAGAAGCGCCGGCUAACUACGUGCCAGCAGCCGCGGUAAUACGUAGGGCGCAAGCGUUGUCCGGAAUUAUUGGGCGUAAAGAGCUCGUAGGCGGCUUGUCACGUCNGAUGUGAAAGCCCGAGGCUUAACCUCGGGUCUGCAUUCGAUACGGGCUAGCUAGAGUGUGGUAGGGGAGAUCGGAAUUCCUGGUGUAGCGGUGAAAUGCGCAGAUAUCAGGAGGAACACCGGUGGCGAAGGCGGAUCUCUGGGCCAUUACUGACGCUGAGGAGCGAAAGCGUGGGGAGCGAAC